AGUUUUGGGUACCCUCUCUAGUAAGAGAGCUGUACUUUCACUUUAAUAAAAAUCUUUGCUCCUCUACCUCUCCUUCCGAGUCUGCAUUCUUAUUCUUCAGGUACGUGAGUCUAUGAUCUCCGGGCACCAGACGCCAGAACACUGCAUCAUUUGAGGGCUUGCUCAGGAUUGAAAGAGAGCUUUCCUUCCUUCCAUCUCAUGCCAAGAACUGAGAAGUUGGUCUGGGACCUAUCCCCAUCAGACUUCCUCAGUUCCCUUCAGCGCAGACCAGCGUAGAGUUUGCAGAUUACCUACUGGCUGGCUUCGAUCGUUCAAGUGACUAUAACAACUGGAUCGUGGGAAAAGACCACCCACCUCCAGAUGGUCCUGAGUGUGGAACCUCACCUGGAUUUGCUCAUCUACUGGAGACGUUUAGAUAGACCUCUGGACCACACUAGCUGCCUGCCUCCUCAGCAUGAAGCAGCCAGAGCAGUCAUCGCCCUUAUACCCUAAUGGCAGUUAGAGUUAUGUCUUCAGAGAGGGGAUUGAGACAGGUUAAUUACCAUGUUGCUAGGUAAACAGGGAAGUCCUUGGUAGAAUAAACAAAGGCAGCCAUAUCUUAGAACUCCAGGCUCUGGAAUGAUUCAUUCACUCCAGGGCAACAAUGUAACAUUCUUCCAGGGAUAAAUGGGUUAUUUCUAAAUCCCUUUAGGCUGGACAAACAGAGUGAAUCUGAUAGACAAAAUGGA